ACUCUUUUCUGAUCCGUCAGUGUGAUGAUUGAGUGUUCACAGCACUGUGUGAAAUGUGCCUCCCUCAAACCUGGUUGCCACACUUUUAGUCGUCUGAUA